ACUGAAAGGCUCAAAAGGAGAGCUCAAGUUACACAAGCUUUGUAAGUGAUCUAUUUACACCAUAUGACUAAGAACGCAUCCAUGGACAGCUUAUGAGCCCAGGCUUCUGUCAAACUAGGAGAGAGGAAAAUGAACAGGCACAAAAAUUCAUAAAAGCUGAAUUGUGCCUGGCACUGUGCAGCUGUGGUGCUGCCUUCAUCAUUCCCUGCGUUUCCAAUCUUGCUAAUUAAAAGGUUGAUCACAGAACAA